CAUUGAUACACAUACACAUCCUUGGCCUUUUCUUCCAAAAAACUGCUAACAAACCAAUAGAACAAGCUCACCAUUGCAAAAAUUCACUUUCUACUCCAAAAUCCAAAUUUUCAAAAAUCAUAUUUUCCCCAAGUCCCUUGCAAACCAUCCAUUCAAACACCUUCCAUAUAACAAGUAGAAGCUAUUGUAGGCAGAAAAU
rnacentral:lncRNA from 1 species